rnacentral:tRNA from 1 species
UCCCAAAGAAGAAUCUGCCUGCAAUGCAGGAAACCUGGGUUCGAUCCCUGGUUUGGGAA